AUAUCGCGGGUGACUUUGAGAUUG
rnacentral:siRNA from 1 species